GUGCUUGCUUCAGCUGCACAUAUAUUAAAAUUGCAACAAUACGCACAUUAGCCUGGCCCCUGCGCAAGGAUUACAUGCAAAUUCGCGAGGUAGGUGAUCCAUAACUUU